GUCACCUGCGCGUGCCGCAUCACGUGGGAGCGAAGCCGGGCCGGCCCCGCCCCCGCCCGCGUCACGUGAUGGGGGCGGGCGCCGCUGGGCAGUGUCAGUGUGGUGGAGACUCAGAGUUCUACCUUGUAAAUACUGUUAUUUGUAUAUACUGUAAAUGAUGACAUCGGUGGGCACUAACCGAGCCCGGGGGAACUGGGAGCAGACACAGACACAGAGCCAGACACAGCACAAGCAGCGGCCGCAGGCCACUGCGGAACAGAUUCGACUUGCACAGAUGAUUUCGGACCACAACGACGCCGACUUUGAGGAGAAGGUGAAACAACUGAUUGACAUCACAGGCAAGAACCAGGAUGAGUGUGUGAUUGCUCUGCACGACUGCAAUGGGGAUGUUAACAGAGCCAUCAAUGUGCUGCUGGAGGGCAAUCCGGACACGCAUUCCUGGGAAAUGGUCGGGAAGAAGAAAGGCGUCUCGGGACAGAAGGACAGCGGACAGACAGAACCCAGCGAGGAGAGCAAAGAGAACCGCGAGAGAGAUCGGGAUUUCAGCAGACGACGCGGCGCGCCGCCGCGGCGGGGCCGAGGUGCCAGCCGUGGCAGGGAGUUUCGGGGCCAGGAGAAUGGGCUGGAUGGUGGGAAGAGUGGAGGCUCUUCUGGAAGAGGCACGGAGAGAGGGAGACGGGGACGUGGCCGGGGCCGAGGUGGCUCUGGAAGGCGGGGGGGAAGAUUCUCUGCCCAAGGCAUGGGAACUUUCAACCCGGCUGACUACGCCGAGCCGGCCAGCACGGACGAGAGCUAUGGGAAUAGCAACACCAACACGUGGAACAACACGGGCAGCUUCGAGCCGGACGAUGGCACAAGACUUGAUUUCAUUGGGGGUGAGGGCUCAAAUUAUCCUCGAAAAUUUGACACUGCUCCUGGUACGAUACAUCCAGGUGCGUGGAGGGCUGCGACGGAGGAGUGGGGCACGGAGGACUGGAAUGAAGAUCUGUCUGAGACAAAGAUCUUCACUGCCUCCAACGUGUCUUCAGUGCCUCUGCCUACAGAGAACGUGACAAUCACCGCCGGACAGAGAAUCGACCUUGCAGUGCUGCUAGGAAAGACACCAUCUUCCAUGGAGAAUGAGUCAACAAACCUGGAGUCAUCCCAGGCCCCCUCCCUGGCGCAGCCCCUGGUGUUCAGCAAUUCCAAGCAGAGUGCUAUGUCCCAGCCGGCCUCUGGGAACUCCUUCUCUCACCACAGCAUGGUGAGCAUGCUGGGGAAAGGGUUUGGAGAUGUCGGGGAGGCCAAAGGCAGCAGCACCACGGGCUCGCAGUUCCUGGAGCAGUUCAAGACGGCCCAGGCUCUGGCCCAGCUGGCGGCUCAGCACAGCCAGCCGGGCAGCAGCACCGCCGCCUCCUCCUGGGACAUGGGAUCGGCGACGCAGACCUCGUCCCUCGUGCAGUACGAUCUCAAGAACCCAACAGACUCUUCUGUGCACAGUCCCUUUGCCAAGCGGCAGGCCUUCACGUCCGCUUCGACGAUGAUAGAGGUGUUCAUGCAGGACAAGCAGCCUGUGGUGACCGCCUCCACCACCGUGCCGGCGCCGCCGUCUUCGCCGCUGCCCAGCAAAGCCAACCCCGUUCCCCAAAUGUCCCCGGGCUCCUCAGACAACCAGUCCUCCAGUCCCCAGCCAGCACAGCAGAAGCUGAAGCAGCAAAAGAAAAAAGCGUCGUUAACAUCCAAGAUUCCUGCGCUCGCGGUGGAGAUGCCUGGCUCAGCAGAUAUCUCAGGGCUAAACCUGCAGUUUGGGGCGUUACAGUUUGGUUCGGAGCCUGUUCUCGCGGAGUACGAAUCGACGCCCACGACGAGCGCCGCCGUUAGCCAGUCUCAGAGCAGCCUGUACACCAGCACUGCUAGUGAAUCUUCAUCCACAAUUUCGUCCAAUCAAAGCCAGGAGUCUGGUUACCAGAGCGGCACAAUACAGACAGCAACGUUUACCUCCCAGAACAGCGCUCAGGGACCACUGUACGAACAGAGAUCCACCCAGACGAGGCGAUACCCAAAUUCCAUCUCCUCCUCGCCCCAGAAAGAUCUAACCCAGGCCAAGAAUGGUUUCAGUUCCGUACAACCCACGCCAUUACAAAGCACGCAGGCUGUGGAAGCAGGUGCUACAGGCCCCGCAGUGAAGUCCGAUUCCCCCUCUGCUCCCAGCAUCGCGCCUCUCAAUGACGGCGUGUCUGCGGCGUCGCUGCUGAGCACAGCCAGCCAGCACUCGACGGCUCUGAGCAGCCUGAGCCACAGCGAGGAGCUGCCCAGCACCACCACCACCCAGCUCAGCAGUACGUUACCCACCCAGCAGAACAGUCUGUCCUCAUCCACAUCCUCUGGGCGAACAUCAACAUCAACUCUUCUGCACACAAGUGUGGAGAGUGAAGCGAGCCUCCAUUCUUCUGCUAGCACUUUCUCCACCUCCUCCAGCACGGUGUCGGCUGCCCCGCCGGUCGUAAGCGUUUCAUCCAGCCUCAGCAGCGUCAGCAGCCUGGGCCUCAGCCUCAGCAGUAACUCCACGGUGACGGCCUCGACUCGCAGCUCCGUCGCAACGACAUCAGGAAAAGCCCCUCCCAACCUCCCCCCUGGAGUCCCGCCGUUGUUGCCUAACCCGUACAUCAUGGCUCCAGGAUUGCUACAUGCCUACCCGCCACAGGUGUAUGGAUAUGAUGACUUGCAAAUGCUCCAGACGAGAUUCCCACUGGAUUAUUACAGCAUCCCAUUCCCUACACCCACCACCCCACUGACUGGAAGAGAUGGCAGCCUGAGCAGCAAUCCGUACUCUGGUGACUUAACAAAAUUCGGUCGAGGCGAUGCCUCUUCCCCUGCUCCUGCAACGACUUUGGCGCAGCCUCAGCAGAGCCAGACCCAGACCCACCACACCACGCAGCAGACGUUCCUGAACCCAGCGCUGCCUCCUGGCUACAGUUACACCAGUCUGCCGUACUACACAGGGGUACCGGGGCUCCCCAGCACCUUCCAGUACGGGCCCGCCGUGUUCCCUGUUGCUCCUACCUCUUCCAAGCAGCAUGGUGUGAAUGUCAGCGUCAACGCAUCAGCAACCCCUUUCCAGCAGCCCAGUGGCUAUGGCUCUCAUGGAUACAGCGCUGGUGUAUCUGUGACAUCCAGUAACACAGGCGUGCCGGACAUCUCGGGCUCUGUCUACUCCAAAACUCAGCAAUCCUUCGAGAAGCAGGGAUUUCACACUGGAACCCCGGCAGCCUCCUUCAACCUGCCUUCAGCGCUGGGCAGCGGCGGCCCCAUCAACCCCGCAACGGCAGCCGCGUACCCCCCCACCCCCUUCAUGCACAUCCUGACCCCGCAUCAGCAGCCCCACUCACAGAUCCUCCACCACCACCUGCAGCAGGACGGGCAGGGCCGAUGAGGACGAGGUGAGGAAGGCCCGGGGUGCGCUCCGCUGGGGGGUACUCGGCACAGCCCCUUGCUGCCGGGCUGUACCAGGUACGGUCGGGUAGUGCCCCUGCACGCAGACACGCCUGGUCCGUCCUGACCUCCCGGUCCUCGGAGUGGCGGCUCCGCAGGCCGGCAGAGCUCCUCGCCACAGCCACGACCCCGCCGUAGCUUGCAGGUCUAACCGUGGAUUUCUAUUGUCAUAGUUUGUCCCUUUAUUUUACAUAUCCUGGUACUGCAACAGCUUCCAUAUUUGCAGAUGAUACUGUGCUGCCAACGCCAGCAGGAAGAUCAGAGCGGCUCCGGGCAGCGCAGCCAAGGCAGCUCCAUCCCCCAGAAAUCCCAGGCCAACAAGUCCGCCUACAACAGCUACAGCUGGGG